AUUGAACGCUGGCGGCAGGCCUAACACAUGCAAGUCGAACGAGUGGCGGACGGGUGAGUAAUGUCUGGGAAACUGCCUGAUGGAGGGGGAUAACUACUGGAAACGGUAGCUAAUACCGCAUACCAUCGGAUGUGCCCAGAUGGGAUUAGCUAGUAGGUGGGGUAAAGGCUCACCUAGGCGACGAUCCCUAGCUGGUCUGAGAGGAUGACCAGACAAACGGGAACUGAGAAACGGUCAAGAGUCCUGAGGGAGGAAGAAGUGGGGAAUAUUGCACAAGGGGCGAAAGUCUGAUGCAGCCAUGCCGCGUGUAGGAAGAAGGCCUUCGGGUUGUAAAGUACUUUUAGCGGGGAGGCGGUACAUGAAGAAGAAGCACCGGAUAACGCCGUGACAGCAGCCGCGGUAAUAC
rnacentral:rRNA from 1 species